GAUGAACGCUCGCUAUAGGCUUAACACAUGCAAGUCGAGGGGAAACGGCAUUAUGUGCUUGCACAUUUUGGACGUCGACCGGCGCACGGGUGAGUAUCGCGUAUCCAACCUGCCCUUUACUUGGGGAUACCCCGUUGAAAGACGGCCUAAUACCCGAUGUAAUUCAUUGAUGGCAUCAGAUAUGAAUAAAAGAUUUAUCGGUAAAGGAUGGGGAUGCGUCUGAUUAGCUUGUUGGUGAGGUAACGGCUCACCAAGGCGACGAUCAGUAGGGGUUCUGAGAGGAAGGUCCCCCACAUUGGAACUGAGACACGGUCCAAACUCCUACGGGAGGCAGCAGUGAGGAAUAUUGGGCAAUGGGCGCAAGCCUGAACCAGCCAAGUAGCGUGCGGGAAGACGGCCCUAUGGGUUGUAAACUGCUUUUAUACGAGAAUAAUUUGAUGCACGUGUGCGUUAUUGCAUGUAUCGUAUGAAUAAGGACCGGCUAAUUCCGUG
rnacentral:rRNA from 1 species